CUGCUUGGAGUAGGAUGCAUCUAAAAGAAAUCUAUUGAUUUUGGUAGAAAAAGAGAAGUCCUAUGUAAUUUAUGAGACUGAGUUCAAAAAGUCUUUGAUCAAAGCAAGUAUGAAUAUUAGAAAAGAGUUUUCACAGAAUUUACAAGUAAACUUGAGUCAAGCUAAUCUAGCAUAUGACUAAUGAUGGGGUCUGACGAGCUUUUCAUGACCUCCAUU
rnacentral:lncRNA from 1 species